rnacentral:rRNA from 1 species
GACGAACGCUGGCGGCGUGCUUAACACAUGCAAGUCGAACGGAAAGGCCCUGCUUUUGUGGGGUGCUCGAGUGGCGAACGGGUGAGUAACACGUGAGUAACCUGCCCUUGACUUUGGGAUAACUUCAGGAAACUGGGGCUAAUACCGGAUAGGAGCUCCUGCUGCAUGGUGGGGGUUGGAAAGUUUCGGCGGUUGGGGAUGGACUCGCGGCUUAUCAGCUUGCUGGUGGGGUAGUGGCUUACCAAGGCUUUGACGGGUAGCCGGCCUGAGAGGGUGACCGGCGACAUUGGGACUGAGAUACGGCCCAGAGUCCUACGGGAGGCAGCAGUGGGGAAUAUUGCACAAUGGGCGGAAGCCUGAUGCAGCAACGCCGCGUGCGGGAUGACGGCCUUCGGGUUGUAAACCGCUUUCGCCUGUGACGCAGCGUGAGUGACGGUAAUGGGUAAAGAAGCACCGGCUAACUACGUG